UCCCUGGUGGCUCAGACGGUAAAGAAUCUGCCUGCAGUGCAGGAGACCUGGGUUCAAUCCCUGGGCUGGGAA
rnacentral:tRNA from 1 species